rnacentral:rRNA from 1 species
CCUACGGGUGGCAGCAGUGAGGAAUAUUGGUCAAUGGGCGAAAGCCUGAACCAGCCACGCCGCGUGAAGGAUGACGGUUUUAUGAGUUGUAAAUCCUUUUGUUAGGGGAGCUUAUGCCGGUAUCUAACGACUAAGCACCGGCUAACUCCGGGCCCGCAGCCUCAGUAAUACGGAGGGUGCAAGGGUUACUCGGAAUUACUGGGCGUAAAGAGUGCGGAGGGGGGUUAAUGAGGCAGAUGUGAAAUCCUGGGGCUUAACUACAGAACUGCAGUUGAAACUGUUCCUCUGGAGUGUGGGAGAGGUAGGCGGAAUGCGUGGUGUAGGGGUAAAAUGCGUAGAGAUCAAGCGGAACACCGAUUGCGAAGGCGACCUGCCGGAACACUACUGACGCUGAGGCACGAAAGCGUGGGGAGCAAACAGGAUUAGAUACCCGUGUAGUC